rnacentral:rRNA from 1 species
GACGAACGCUGGCGGCGUGCUUAACACAUGCAAGUCGAACGGAAAGGCCCUGCUUUUGUGGUGUGCUCGAGUGGCGAACGGGUGAGUAACACGUGAGUAACCUGCCCUUUACUUUGGGAUAACUUCAGGAAACUGGGGCUAAUACCGGAUAUGAGCUCCUGCUGCAUGGUGGUGGUUGGAAAUUUUCGGCGGUUGGGGAUGGUCUCGCGGCUUAUCAGCUUUUUUGUGGGGUAGUUGCUUACCAAGGCUUUGACGGGUAGCCGGCAUGAGAGGGUGACCGGAGACAUUGGGACUGAGAUACGGCACAGAAGCGUACGGGAGGAAGCAGUGGGGAAUAUUGCAAAAUGGGAGGAAGCAUGAUGCAGAAAAGCAGGAUGCGGGAUGAAGGCAUUCGGGUAGUAAACCGAUUUCGCAUGUGAAGAAGAGUGAGUGACGGUAAUGGGUAAAGAAGCACCGGCUAACUACGUG